rnacentral:rRNA from 1 species
UGCGUAGGCGGGGCAAUUAGUCAGUGGUGAAAUCCUGCGGCUUAACCGUAGAACUGCCAUUGAUACUGUUGCCCUUGAGUAUAGUUGAGGUGGGCGGAAUGUGUAAUGUAGCGGCGAAAUGCAUAGAGAUUACACAGAACACCAAUUGCGAAGGCAGCUCACUAAGCUAUAACUGACGCUGAGGCACGAAAGCGUGGGGAGCGAACAGGAUUAGAUACCCUGGUAGUCC